AAUUGGUUUCCCCCUAGGUCCCUGCCUAUCCAGGCUUAGGUUCUUGGUCACCCAGGCAACGUUUGUCAUGGGUUCUAGCUCAUGGAAUGGGCCUUAAGUCAGUGAUUGGUCACUCCCACAAGUUCUGUGUCACUGUCACACCAGCUUAUCUUGCAGACAGGUCAUCACUGUAGAGAAUUCUCAAAAGAGUAAAACUAAAUGACUAAGAAGUGCUUAAAUGGUCACCAUCCUUAGUUGUCAGGAAAUUCAAAUCAAACUUGCGAGCUUUCCUCUUACACGGGCAGGAGUGACCAGGAUCAAUGACACAAGUGACAGCUCGUGCUGCUGAGGAUGCUGCCUACAGGAACUCACCCAUGGCUGGUGGGACUCAAACCUGCACAGCCACUAUGGAAAUCAGUGUGGUAGCUCCUCAGGGAGAUGGCAAUCAACCUCCUACAAGACUGGCUAAAACCACUCUUGGGCAUAUACCUAAAAGAUGCUUCGAGCUACUACACAGACACUAUUCAACUGGUGGGAAUAGCUAAAAAUUGGAAACAAACUUGAUGUCCAUCAAUGAACGAAGAAUGAAUGGUACAUUUACACAACAGAAUAUAACUCUGCUGUUAAAAAAUGCAUUCAUGAAGUCUGCAGGGCUGAGCUGAAAAGCACACACAGCACUGAACCGACUGGUCCACCAUUACCAAGAGAGAACUGCCACUGUAUGAGGUAAAGCCCGAAGGCCUGCUUACAGCCAAGUAUUUCGGGAAUUCUUAUACCAAUGAACUGCUCCUAAGACAAGCAUGUAACUGUGCCUGCGCCUAUGAAGGAGAGUAGAGAAGAACAGCAAGCGUGACGGUGAUCUGUCUUUCGGGCCUCUUAGAAGACAAAACAACAGCAGCGUUCAGCUUUACGGCCAUUCACAAGAAGUACAAGAACGAUCUUCCUCCAAGCGAUACCUGCUGCUUCCUUUAGCAUUUCUGCAGUUUUGCUGCCUUUGGUCUUUAGAAGUUAAGGCUAGCGCAUGAAGCAUGCUCUCAGAGUCCAGACCAUGGCAGCCUGAUAAUGGCCCCCAUUUAACAAGGUAACAAGGCUUCCAGAUGAAUAUAGGUUCAAGGGGCAACUAGUUUUCCUUAGAAGUGCACAAAGUAGAUCCUUCCCGCUGUGAAAAGCCUUACCUACAUGUUAAAAAUAUGAACACUUCAGAACAAGAGUUAAUGCAGAUAAAUGGGCCCCGAUUUAAUGAAACACAGUGGCCAGAAACCUGCUGAUCUUGCUUCCCUCCAAAACUUGCUGCUCUCAGCUCUGGCCCCAAAGAUGGCCAAUAUUUUACAUUACGAUAAAAUAAUGCAAAGAUUA